GAUAGAGUGACUGAAAAUAGGUGAUAAAUUGUAAAUUUAUUUAUGGUUAUUCUAACCCUCUAUCA
rnacentral:tRNA from 1 species